rnacentral:rRNA from 1 species
GACGAACGCUGGCGGCGUGCUUAACACAUGCAAGUCGAGCGACGCUCUUCCUUCGGGGAGAUGACGGAGCGGCGAACGGGUGAGUAACACGUGGGCAACCUGCCCCUAGCUCUGGGACAACACCGGGAAACCGGUGCUAAUACCGGAUACGACAUCGAGCGGCAUCUCUCGAUGUGGAAAGUUUUUUCGGCUAGGGAUGGGCCCGCGGCCUAUCAGCUUGUUGGUGGGGUAAUGGCCCACCAAGGCGACGACGGGUAGCCGGCCUGAGAGGGCGACCGGCCACACUGGGACUGAGACACGGCCCAGACUCCUACGGGGGGCAGCAGUGGGGAAUAUUGCGCAAUGGGCGAAAGCCUGACGCAGCGACGCCGCGUGAGGGAUGACGGCCUUCGGGUUGUAAACCUCUUUCAGCAGGGACGAAUUCAGACGGUACCUGCAGAAGAAGCACCGGCCAACUACGU